GUUCAGAUAGUUUAAAAAAAAUAUUGGUUUGUGGCACCAAAGAUAUAAUUGUUUAUUUUGGACA
rnacentral:tRNA from 1 species